AGGCUCUUCUGUUACCAUGGCAGCCUUGGAUGACGGGCUGCCAGCUGGUCAAGUAGCCCUGUGGCAGCCUGGAUGUUUGAGAACUCUCUUAGUCUGAGGACACCCCAGAGGACUGUUACAGCCACAGUGGAAGGCACACUCCCAUUAUGAGCACUAGCCUUUAUGACCAUUAUGACUGUUUGCCCUCGGUUAUCCUCAUGUACACCAGAGGGGGCACACUUCCCCUGAAGGCCCAGAAGGUGGCCUUGGGCAUACCCACCCCAUGGCUACAUAACCAGGCAAUUCAGUUCACAGUCCUUGUCCCGAGAGGCAGCCUCUUGCACUGAAAAACAAUGCCCAUAAACAGCCUCUCCCAAGUGGUCUGUCCUUGUCCUGGCAGGAAAUAGGGACCCCAGAGCCACGAAAUGACAGGACAACCGCCUGUGAAAAUAUAUGAUGAUGAAUCUUUUCUGUCAACCUGCCUGGAUUUGGAGUCACCUAGGAGACAUAGCCCUAUGAGUCUAUGGGUACAAUGUGACCAGCUGACCCACACUCCUGCUGUGAUGGACCAUGUCCUGGAUCUACAAACAAAAUCAGCAACCCUUCCUUCCCUCGGGUUCCUCUGCGGGCAUUUCGUCACUGUCAUAAUAAAAGUAAUCAAUA